rnacentral:rRNA from 1 species
GACGAACGCUGGCGGCGUGCUUAACACAUGCAAGUCGAACGGUGAAGGGGCCUGCUUUUGUGGGUCCUGGAUGAGUGGCGAACGGGUGAGUAACACGUGAGUAACCUGCCCCCUUCUUCUGGAUAACCGCAUGAAAGUGUGGCUAAUACGGGAUAUUCUGGGUCUGUCGCAUGGUGGGCCUGGGAAAGAUUGCGCCUUUUUUGGUGUUUUUGGUGGGGGAUGGGCUCGCGGCCUAUCAGCUUGUUGGUGGGGUGAUGGCCUACCAAGGCGGUGACGGGUAGCCGGCCUGAGAGGGUGGACGGCCACACUGGGACUGAGACACGGCCCAGACUCCUACGGGAGGCAGCAGUGGGGAAUAUUGCACAAUGGGCGCAAGCCUGAUGCAGCGACGCCGCGUGAGGGAUGGAGGCCUUCGGGUUGUGAACCUCUUUCGCCAGUGAAGCAGGCCUGCCUCGUUUGUGGGUGGGUUGACGGUAGCUGGAUAAGAAGCGCGGCUAA